CGCAUCUGUGCAUGCAGCAUAUCAAUAAGCGGAGGAAAAGAAACUAACAAGGAUUCCCUCAGUAACGGCGAGUGAAGCGGGAAGAGCCUCAAAUUUGAAAUCUUGAAAGGUCACCUUUCACGAAUUGUAGUUUAAAGAAGUGUUUUCUGUUACGAUCGUAAUAUAAGUUCUUUGGAAUAGGACAUCACAGAGGGUGAGAAUCCCGUCUAUGAUUGCGAUUUGUAGCUUUGUGAUACACUUUCAAAGAGUCGGGUUGUUUGGGAAUGCAGCCCAAAACGGGAGGUAAAUUUCUUCUAAGGCUAAAUAUUGGCGAGAGACCGAUAGCGAACAAGUACCGUGAGGGAAAGAUGAAAGAGAACUUUGAAAAGAGAGUUAAAUAGUACGUGAAAUUGUCAAAAGGGAAGCGUUUAACACCAGUGUUGUUUUCUGAAAAUCAACCUCUGUUAGCUUUAUGCAUGUUUGUUUAGACCUAAUCAGCUAUCUUGCAUGUUCUAUUGUUUGCAGUGGUGCACUUUUCAGUUUACAGGUCAACAUCAGUUUUUUUUACCGUAAAAAAGUUAAAGAAAGGUAGCUCAUGGCUCCGGUCGUGAGUGUUAUAGUCUUUUUCCUAUGCGGUAGGAGAGACUGAGGUCUGCAGUGUAGGCUAUUUGGCUAGAUACUCAGGUGCUAUGUGAUACCAUUUCAUAAACAACUUGUUGAUUAUGUUUUGUCUAUUGCAUACUCGCUUGUACUAUCAUACCUACGCUUAGGAUGUUGAAGUCAUCGUAUCGCGC
rnacentral:rRNA from 1 species